rnacentral:rRNA from 1 species
GUGGGGAAUCUUCCGCAAUGGACGAAAGUCUGACGGAGCAACGCCGCGUGAGUGAAGAGGGUUUUCGGAUCGUAAAGCUCUUUCAUUAGGGACGAACGUGCUCUUUGUGAAUAAUGAGGAGUAAUGACGGUACCUAAAUAAGAAGCCACGGCUAACUACGUGCCAGCAGCCGCGGUAAUACGUAGGUGGCAAGCGUUGUCCGGAAUUAUUGGGCGUAAAGCGCGCGCAGGCGGGAUAUCAAGUCUGUCUUAAAAGUGCGAGGCUCAACCUCGUGAGGGGACAGAAACUGGUAUUCUUGAGUGUCGGAGAGGAAAGUGGAAUUCCAAGUGUAGCGGUGAAAUGCGUAGAGAUUUGGAAGAACACCAGUGGCGAAGGCGACUUUCUGGACGAUGUCUGACGCUGAGGCGCGAAAGCUAGGGGAGCGAACGGGAUUAGAAACCCCGGUAGUCC